ACCCUACGGGGCGCAGCAGUGAGGAAUAUUGGUCAAUGGGCGCAAGCCUGAACCAGCCAAGUCGCGUGAGGGAAGACGGCCCUACGGGUUGUAAACCUCUUUUGUCAGGGAGCAAAGGGCGCCACGUGUGGCGCUUUGCGAGUACCUGAAGAAAAAGCAUCGGCUAACUCCGUGCCAGCAGCCGCGGUAAUACGGAGGAUGCGAGCGUUAUCCGGAUUUAUUGGGUUUAAAGGGUGCGCAGGCGGAAUGUCAAGUCAGCGGUAAAAUUUCGGGGCUCAACCCCGUCGUGCCGUUGAAACUGGCGU
rnacentral:rRNA from 1 species